CUGCGGAAGGAUCAUUAUCGUACAAUCGAGGUGCUGGGGUUGUUGCUGACUUUUGAAAGGGUCGUGCACACCUCGGUGCUCUCACACAUAAUCCAUCUCACCCCUUUUGUGCAUCACCGCGUGGGGACCCCUUUUGGCUAGUUCUGAGGGGGGCUUUCACGUUUUUACACAGACACCCUUUUUAAUGCAAUGUGUAGAAUGUCUUACUUUUUGCGAUCACACGCAAUCAAUACAACUUUCAACAACGGAUCUCUUGGCUCUCGCAUCGAUGAAGAACGCAGCGAAAUGCGAUACGUAAUGUGAAUUGCAGAAUUCAGUGAAUCAUCGAAUCUUUGAACGCACCUUGCGCCCUUUGGCAUUCCGAGGGGCACACCCGUUUGAGUGUCGUGACAUCCUCAAAAACCUUCUUUGGUUUCUUGACCGGGAAGGCUUUUGGACUUUGGAGGCUAUUGCUGGCCUUCCUAUGUUGGAGCCAGCUCCUCUGAAAUAAAUUAGUGGGGUCUGCUUUGCCGAUCCUUGACGUGAUAAGAUGUUUUCUACGUCUUGGGUUUCGCACUGUUCCUGCUUCUAACUGUCUCAUAGAAGACAAUGGUGAAGUGAUUGCCACUUGACCCACAAACCUUGACCUCAAAUCGGGUGAGACUACCCGCUG
rnacentral:rRNA from 1 species